rnacentral:rRNA from 1 species
GAAUGCUGACAUAAGUAACGAUAAAGCGGGUGAAAAGCCCGCUCGCCGGAAGACCAAGGGUUCCUGUCCAACGUUAAUCGGGGCAGGGUGAGUCGACCCCUAAGGCGAGGCCGAAAGGCGUAGUCGAUGGGAAACGGGUUAAUAUUCCCGUACUUGGUGUUACUGCGAAGGGGGGACGGAGAAGGCUAUGUUGGCCGGGCGACGGUUGUCCCGGUUUAAGCGUGUAGGUGUGUGUUCCAGGUAAAUCCGGUUCACUUUAACACUGAGGCGUGACGACGAGGCACUACGGUGCUGAAGCAACAAAUGCCCUGCUUCCAGGAAAAGCCUCUAAGCAUCAGGUAACAUCAAAUCGUACCCCAAACCGACACAGGUGGUCAGGUAGAGAAUACCAAGGCGCUUGAGAGAACUCGGGUGAAGGAACUAGGCAAAAUGGUGCCGUAACUUCGGGAGAAGGCACGCUGACACGUAGGUGAAGUGAUUUACUCAUGGAGCUGAAGUCAGUCGAAGAUACCAGCUGGCUGCAACUGUUUAUUAAAAACACAGCACUGUGCAAACACGAAAGUGGACGUAUACGGUGUGACGCCUGCCCGGUGCCGGAAGGUUAAUUGAUGGGGUCAGCGCAAGCGAAGCUCCUGAUCGAAGCCCCGGUAAACGGCGGCCGUAACUAUAACGGUCCUAAGGUAGCGAAAUUCCUUGUCGGGUAAGUUCCGACCUGCACGAAUGGCGUAAUGAUGGCCAGGCUGUCUCCACCCGAGACUCAGUGAAAUUGAACUCGCUGUGAAGAUGCAGUGUACCCGCGGCAAGACGGAAAGACCCCGUGAACCUUUACUAUAGCUUGACACUGAACAUUGAGCCUUGAUGUGUAGGAUAGGUGGGAGGCUUUGAAGUGUGGACGCCAGUCUGCAUGGAGCCGACCUUGAAAUACCACCCUUUAAUGUUUGAUGUUCUAACGUGGACCCGUUACCCGGGUUGCGGACAGUGUCUGGUGGGUAGUUUGACUGGGGCGGUCUCCUCCUAAAGAGUAACGGAGGAGCACGAAGGUUGGCUAAUCCUGGUCGGACAUCAGGAGGUUAGUGCAAUGGCAUAAGCCAGCUUGACUGCGAGCGUGACGGCGCGAGCAGGUGCGAAAGCAGGUCAUAGUGAUCCGGUGGUUCUGAAUGGAAGGGCCAUCGCUCAACGGAUAAAAGGUACUCCGGGGAUAACAGGCUGAUACCGCCCAAGAGUUCAUAUCGACGGCGGUGUUUGGCACCUCGAUGUCGGCUCAUCACAUCCUGGGGCUGAAGUAGGUCCCAAGGGUAUGGCUGUUCGCCAUUUAAAGUGGUACGCGAGCUGGGUUUAGAACGUCGUGAGACAGUUCGGUCCCUAUCUGCCGUGGGCGCUGGAGAACUGAGGGGGGCUGCUCCUAGUACGAGAGGACCGGAGUGGACGCAUCACUGGUGUUCGGGUUGUCAUGCCAAUGGCACUGCCCGGUAGCUAAAUGCGGAAGAGAUAAGUGCUGAAAGCAUCUAAGCACGAAACUUGCCCCGAGAUGAGUUCUCCCUGAGACUUAAAGUCUCCUGAAGGAACGUUGAAGACGACGACGUUGAUAGGCCGGGUGUGUAAGCGCAGCGAUGCGUUGAGCUAACCGGUACUAAUGAACCGUGAGGCUU